rnacentral:rRNA from 1 species
UACAGAGGUCCCAAGCGUUGUUCGGAUUCACUGGGCGUAAAGGGUGCGUAGGUGGCAGGGUAAGUUUGAUGUGAAAUCUCCGGGCUUAACCCGGAAACUGCAUUGAAUACUAUCCGGCUAGAGGGUUGGAGGGGAGACUGGAAUACUUGGUGUAGCAGUGAAAUGCGUAGAUAUCAAGUGGAACACCAGUGGCGAAGGCGAGUCUCUGGACAACUCCUGACACUGAGGCACGAAAGCUAGGGGAGCAAACAGG